UACGUAGGGGGCAAGCGUUGUCCGGAAUCAUUGGGCGUAAAGAGCGUGUAGGCGGUUCGGUAAGUCGGCUGUGAAAGUCCAGGGCUCAACCCUGGGAAUGCCGGUCGAUACUGCCGGACUAGAGUUCGGAAGAGGCGAGUGGAAUUCCCGGUGUAGCGGUGAAAUGACGCAGAUAUCGGGAGGAACACCUAUGGCGAAGGCAGCUCGCUGGGACGUUACUGACGCUGAGACGCGAAAGCGUGGGGAGCAAACAGG
rnacentral:rRNA from 1 species